UGUUCUUCCGUGAGCUCUCUGAGAAUUGUUUCCCAUGGCCUGGAGAAAGUAUUUGGAAAGCUGUGGAAUACCAGCCAGCAGGUCACCUGGCCUCUCUGCAACUUUGGAACUUUCCCCCCCACAGCAUUACCUGAGUGAGCCCCUUCCAUCACCGCAGGUCACUAAGGAAGAGAGAGAUGGGCACAUGCAAUAGGAAUGUUUCUCCUCUGUCCUUGAUUACAGCUGUGCCUCCAGGCAGUGGCUCACCAAAGCCUAGGUUUAAUGCAGUUGAGUUUAGAGCUGGGGUGAGCUCCAGCUCUGGGCAGUUCCACACGGGUUAGUUCUGUAUGAUGGUGGUGCCCGGCAGGCACCCAGGAACUGUUUCCAAGGUGCUCCUGUGUGGAAGGGAGAGAACAGUGUCGUGAAGGAAUCCCCCAGCUUAAAUUGCAUCUUGUGUCAUUCUGACUGGAAGGAUGUUUAAUGGGAGUUGCUCUGUCCUGCAUUUCUUUGCAGAUGUGACCUGGAGGAGGUGAUCCAGGUUCCCCUCUAGGUUCUGGGACUGAAUCUCCAGCAGAUCACAUGGGUCCAGAAGAAGGAAAGGAUGAAUCCAAAAGAGUAGAAUACUCCCAGGGCUCAUCCCAUCUCCUAAAUGACCUGCUGAAGGAAAUGGAGAAUGCAGCGCGUGGGACUGACCAACAAACUGCACAGGACGUGCUGCAGGAAGGCAGCCAUCCCACGCUGCCAGUCUGGGACAGAGGAACGCAGAUAGCGCCAACGACUG
rnacentral:lncRNA from 7 species